rnacentral:rRNA from 1 species
UACGGAGGGUGCAAGCGUUGUUCGGAUUUAUUGGGCGUAAAGCGCGUGUAGGCGGUUUCUUAAGUCUGAUGUGAAAGCCCCGGGCUCAACCCGGGAAGUGCAUUGGAUACUGGGAGACUUGAAUACGGGAGAGGGUAGUGGAGUUCCUAGUGUAGGAGUGAAAUCCGUAGAUAUUAGGAGGAACACCGGUGGCGAAGGCGGCUACCUGGACCGAUAUUGACGCUGAGACGCGAAAGCGUGGGGAGCAAACAGG